AAUCUUAUGAACAGAACCCGGACAGGGAGGCUGGCCGGAGGUUCCUGCAGAGGGAGCGUCAAGGCCCUGUGCUGCUGUCCCUGGGGGCCAGAGGGGUUGCCCAGCAUGCCCACUGGCAGGAGAGAGGGAACUGACCCACUUGCUCCUACCAGCUUCUGAAGGCUCCAAAGUCCGGAGGUGCAGAAAGCCAGGACCAAGAGACAGGCAGCUCACCAGGGUGGACACAUCGCCAGAGAUGUGGUAAGUGAUCAAGGGUCCCUGAGAUUACACAGACUCCAUUCCCUUCAUCUUCUCAAGAAAAGCGCUCAUGGGCCAGGCAUGAUGGCUCACGCCUGUAAUCCCAGCACUUUGGGAGGCCGAGGCAGGAGGAUUGCUUGAGCCCAGGACUUUGAGACCAGCCUGGACAACAUAAGGAGACCCUGUCUCUAUUAAAAAAAAAAAAAAAUCAGCCCAGCGUGGUGCGUGUCACCUGUGGUCUCCGCUACUCAAAAGGCUGAGGUGGUAGAAUCACUUGAGCGCGGGAGGUCAAGGCUGCAGUGAGCUGAGAUCGCA
rnacentral:sRNA from 1 species